AUGUCACAGGCAGCGUAUGAGCACUUCUCGUCCAUCCUUGGGGCCGCUACUGCGCAUACUCACUCCAUUAGCCUUGACAGCAUUAACCACAUAAGCUUCGACCUCCUUGAGCUCGACAACCCAUUCUCCGAGCUGGAGGUUUGGGAGGCCAUCAAGAAGAUGCCGACCGGCAAGGCGCCUGGACCAGACGGCUUCACCUCUGAGUUCCUCCAGGCAUGUUGGCCCAUCAUCAAGGCUGAUAUUUGCGAGGCCUUUAACAAGCUCUACUCCUUGAAUGGGAGGGGUUUUCACAAGCUAAAUGAGGCCCUGCUGAUUUUACUGCCCAAGAAGUCAGAUGCUGCCACGCUCUCGGACUACCGGCCCAUCAGUCUGAUUCACAUCAUUGCCAAGUUGUUUGCCAAAGUGCUAUCAUUGCGUCUCGCUUCGAGGAUGGGGAAGAUCGUCUCUGCCAACCAGAGCGCAUUCAUUGCUGACCGGUGCGUGCAUGACAACUUUUUGCUGGUUCAACAGACGGCCCGAUUCCUCCAUACCUCCAAAGCACCGAGAGUUCUCCUCAAGCUCGACAUUGCCAAGUCCUUCGAUACGAUCUCUUGGCCCUUCCUCCUUGAUGUCCUAUCACAUAUUGGCUUUGGCCGGCGUUGGUGCGAGUGGGUAUCCAUCCUCACGUCCACUACAUCUACCCGUGUCCUGAUUAAUGGCAAUCAAGGGCCUCCUGUGGACCAUGCCUGCGGGCUUCACCAGGGGGAUCCGGUCUCGCCCAUGCUCUUCGCCAUUGUCAUCGACACUCUAAACUCCCUCUUCAAGCAUGUCGUGUCUGCCGGUGUGCUGCGCCACCUUACCAAGAGGCACGCAGCGUCGAGCAUCUGGCUAUUCGCUGACGAUGUCGUCAUCUUAUGUCACCCUGACCCCGUCGAGCUUGCCACCAUCUGCGAGCUCCUGCGCGUGUUUGGCAACGCAUCCGGUCUGCGCACCAACUUCUCCAAGUGCUCGGCAUCCACAAUCCGAUGCACGGCCGAGGUCGACAUCGUGAUUGCCACGGAGCUUGUUUGCGCUGUCCAGGGCUUCCCCAUCCCUUACCUCGGCCUGCCGCUCACCAUUCGCAAGUGCCCGACCUCUGCGCUACUCCCUCUGGUUGAUCAACUAACCAAGAAGCUCGCCACUUGGAAAGCCUCUCUACUCUCGCGCUCUGAGCGGAUCGCCUUGGUGCGCCACACGCUCAUUGCAAUGCCGGUGCACAUCCUCCUUGCCAUGGCCCUAAACCCCACGAUCCUCAAGAAGAUCACGAUGGUUGGGCACGACUUCCUCUGGCAUGGCUGCAAGGAUGUUGUCGGUGUCAAAACCGACGGAUCUCGGGUAGGGGGUCCCGAACUAUGCGUCUAG
rnacentral:rRNA from 1 species